rnacentral:rRNA from 1 species
GACGGAGGGUGCGAGCGUUAUUCGGGCUCAUUGGGCGUAAAGAGCGUGUAGGCGGCCGGUUAAGUCAGGUGUGAAAGCCCGGGGCUCAACCUCGGAAGUGCACUUGAAACUGGUCGGCUUGAGUUCGGGAGAGGGAAGCGGAAUUCCUGGUGUAGAGGUGAAAUUCGUAGAUAUCAGGAGGAACACCGGUGGCGAAGGCGGCUUCCUGGACCGAAACUGACGCUGAGACGCGAAAGCGUGGGGAGCAAACAGG